CGGACGGGUGAGUAAUGUCUGGGAAACUGCCCGAUGGAGGGGGAUAACUACUGGAAGCGGUAGCUAAUACCGCAUAACGUCGCAAGACCAAAGAGGGGGACCUUCGGGCCUCUUGCCAUCGGAUGUGCCCAGAUGGGAUUAGCUAGUAGGUGGGGUAACGGCUCACCUAGGCGACGAUCCCUAGCUGGUCUGAGAGGAUGACCAGCCACACUGGAACUGAGACACGGUCCAG
rnacentral:rRNA from 1 species